rnacentral:rRNA from 21 species
UGACCUCGGAUCAGGUAGGAAUACCCGCUGAACUUAAGCAUAUCAAUAAGCGGA